rnacentral:rRNA from 1 species
CUAAUACAUGCAAGUCGAACGAACUUCCGUUAAUUGAUUAUGACGUACUUGUACUGAUUGAGAUUUUAACACGAAGUGAGUGGCGAACGGGUGAGUAACACGUGGGUAACCUGCCCAGAAGUAGGGGAUAACACCUGGAAACAGAUGCUAAUACCGUAUAACAGAGAAAACCGCAUGGUUUUCUUUUAAAAGAUGGCUCUGCUAUCACUUCUGGAUGGACCCGCGGCGUAUUAGCUAGUUGGUGAGGUAAAGGCUCACCAAGGCAGUGAUACGUAGCCGACCUGAGAGGGUAAUCGGCCACAUUGGGACUGAGACACGGCCCAGACUCCUACGGGAGGCAGCAGUAGGGAAUCUUCCACAAUGGACGCAAGUCUGAUGGAGCAACGCCGCGUGAGUGAAGAAGGGUUUCGGCUCGUAAAGCUCUGUUGUUAAAGAAGAACGUGGGUAAGAGUAACUGUUUACCCAGUGACGGUAUUUAACCAGAAAGCCACGGCUAACUACGUGCCAGCAGCCGCGGUAAUACGUAGGUGGCAAGCGUUAUCCGGAUUUAUUGGGCGUAAAGCGAGCGCAGGCGGUCUUUUAAGUCUAAUGUGAAAGCCUUCGGCUCAACCGAAGAAGUGCAUUGGAAACUGGGAGACUUGAGUGCAGAAGAGGACAGUGGAACUCCAUGUGUAGCGGUGAAAUGCGUAGAUAUAUGGAAGAACACCAGUGGCGAAGGCGGCUGUCUGGUCUGCAACUGACGCUGAGGCUCGAAAGCAUGGGUAGCGAACAGGAUUAGAUACCCUGGUAGUCCAUGCCGUAAACGAUGAUUACUAAGUGUUGGAGGGUUUCCGCCCUUCAGUGCUGCAGCUAACGCAUUAAGUAAUCCGCCUGGGGAGUACGACCGCAAGGUUGAAACUCAAAAGAAUUGACGGGGGCCCGCACAAGCGGUGGAGCAUGUGGUUUAAUUAGAAGCUACGCGAAGAACCUUACCAGGUCUUGACAUCUUCUGACAGUCUAAGAGAUUAGAGGUUCCCUUCGGGGACAGAAUGACAGGUGGUGCAUGGUUGUCGUCAGCUCGUGUCGUGAGAUGUUGGGUUAAGUCCCGCAACGAGCGCAACCCUUAUUACUAGUUGCCAGCAUUAAGUUGGGCACUCUAGUGAGACUGCCGGUGACAAACCGGAGGAAGGUGGGGACGACGUCAAAUCAUCAUGCCCCUUAUGACCUGGGCUACACACGUGCUACAAUGGAUGGUACAACGAGUCGCGAGACCGCGAGGUUAAGCUAAUCUCUUAAAACCAUUCUCAGUUCGGACUGUAGGCUGCAACUCGCCUACACGAAGUCGGAAUCGCUAGUAAUCGCGGAUCAGCAUGCCGCGGUGAAUACGUUCCCGGGCCUUGUACACACCGCCCGUCACACCAUGAGAGUUUGUAACACCCAAAGCCGGUGGG